UACGAAGGGGGCUAGCGUUGUUCGGAAUUACUGGGCGUAAAGCGCACGUAGGCGGAUAUUUAAGUCAGGGGUGAAAUCCCGGGGCUCAACCCCGGAACUGCCUUUGAUACUGGGUAUCUUGAGUUCGGAAGAGGUGAGUGGAAUUGCGAGUGUAGAGGUGAAAUUCGUAGAUAUUCGCAGGAACACCAGUGGCGAAGGCGGCUCACUGGUCCGAUACUGACGCUGAGGAGCGAAAGCAUGGGGAGCGAACAGG
rnacentral:rRNA from 1 species